rnacentral:lncRNA from 1 species
AAAAACAGAAGAUUUUUACCUCAUUUUCUGUCACAAAAAACCAGCUGCAGCCACAUUUGACAGCAAGAAGGAUUGGCUCACUCAUUCUCUCAAAAGAUCACAUUUUUCACACUUUUGCAAAAGCUAUCCAAAAACUCUCAAAGGACCAAACUUGGCCUUGCCUAAAGCAACAUCAAACAGCAUAUCAAAGAUGAUUUUCUGCCAUUGUAAACACAAGUAGCAGCCAACAUAACCAACUGAAAAAACCUUGUGCUCUCAAACUUCAUUUUUGGGCAUUUUUCCAAACUCUGUCAAAAAAAAAAAAACCCAAAAGACCAUGAGCAAGCUUUGUUGGUUCACAAUAUCAAAACAACAUUUUGAACUCAUUCCAACCACUUCCCUCCAUCUGUAAACUCCUUUUCCACUGCUGCUACAAGAG